rnacentral:rRNA from 1 species
UAGGGAUCUUCGUCAAUGGGGGCAACCCUGACCGAGCAACGCCGCGUGAGUGAAGAAGGUUUUCGGAUCGUAAAGCUCUGUUGUAUGAGAAGAACGAGUGUGAGAGUGGAAAGUUCACACUGUGACGGUAUCUUACCAGAAAGGGACGGCUAACUACGUGCCAGCAGCCGCGGUAAUACGUAGGUNCCGAGCGUUGUCCGGAUUUAUUGGGCGUAAAGCGAGCGCAGGCGGUUAGAUAAGUCUGAAGUUAAAGGCUGUGGCUUAACCAUAGUACGCUUUGGAAACUGUUUAACUUGAGUGCAGAAGGGGAGAGUGGAAUUCCAUGUGUAGCGGUGAAAUGCGUAGAUAUAUGGAGGAACACCGGGGGCGAAAGCGGCUCUCUUGGUCUGUAACUGACGCUGAGGCUCGAAAGCGUGGGGAGCGAACAGGAUUAGAUACCCUGGUAGUCCACGCCGUAAACGAUGAGUGCUAGGUGUUGGAUCCUUUCCGGGAUUCAGUGCCGCAGCUAACGCAUUAAGCACUCCGCCUGGGGAGUACGACCCGCAAGGUUGA